rnacentral:rRNA from 1 species
UACGGAGGGUGCAAGCGUUAUCCGGAUUUAUUGGGCGUAAAGCGUCCGCAGGUGGUUUUGUAAGUCAGGGGUUAAAACUCAGUGCUCAACACUGAGACUGCCUUUGAUACUGCUCAACUAGAGAACGGAAGAGGUAAGCGGAAUUCUCGGUGUAGUCGUAAUAAGCGUUGAUAUCGAGAAGAACACCAAAUGCGAAGGCAGCUUACUGGUACGUUUCUGACACUCAUGGACUAAAGCGUGGGGAGCAAACAGG